AUUGAACGCUGGCGGCAGGCCUAACACAUGCAAGUCGAACGCGUGGCGGACGGGUGAGUAAUGUCUGGGCAACUGCCUGAUGGAGGGGGAUAACUACUGGAAACGGUAGCUAAUACCACAUACUUUCAUAUGUGCCCAGAUGGGAUUAGCUAGUAGGUGGGGUAACGUCUCACCUAGGCGACGAUCCCUAGCUGGUCUGAGAGGAUGACCAACCACACUGGAACUGAGACACGGUCCAGACUCCUGCGGUAGGCAGCAGUGGGGAAUAUUGCACAAUGGGCGCAAGCCUGAUGCAGCCAUGCCGCGUGUAUGAAGAAGGCCUUCGGGUUGUAAAGUACUUUCAGCGGGGAGGCGUUACCCGCAGAAGAAGCACCGGCUAACUCCGUGCCAGCAGCCGCGGUAAUUC
rnacentral:rRNA from 1 species